GCUGGAGACACAGGUGUGGGUGCACGCGCGUCUCUCUCUCAACGUCCCGGCGAUCUCGCUCGAAGCCUCCUGGUCUUAGGGAUGCGCGGAGCUGGCUGGCUAUGGUGAUAUCGGUGUGGUGUGGGCGACAGUCACGGUGGUGAGACAGGCCGUGUCGGCGGUGCUGAGGCUCGGGGGAGAGAAGGAAAGGAAAAUAACCGGAGGCUGGGAGAGAGAGAGAAAUAGAGGCCGCCGUCACGAUGAAACUGCGACUCCUGAGGCACUUGGUGAUCCAGACGUGCUUCGCUGUAGCUCUUGUAGUGGCCGGUUGUGUGGCCAAUCCAGACGCCAAGAGGCUGUACGAUGACCUCCUCAGCAACUACAAUCGCCUCAUCAGACCAGUGGGCAACAACUCAGAGAAACUCAUCGUCAAGCUGGGGCUCAAGCUCUCCCAACUCAUCGAUGUGAACUUGAAGAACCAGAUCAUGACGUCCAACGUGUGGGUUGAGCAGGAGUGGCAUGAUUACAAGCUGAGAUGGGACCCCGGCGACUAUGGAGGCGUGGAGAUGCUGUACGUGCCCUCGGAACACAUCUGGCUGCCUGAUAUUGUCCUCUACAACAAUGCGGAUGGUAACUACGAGGUGACGCUGAUGACGAAGGCGACGCUGAAGUACACCGGGGAGGUGGUGUGGAGGCCCCCAGCUAUCUACAAGUCGUCUUGUGAGAUCGACGUCGAGUGGUUUCCCUUCGACGAGCAGUCAUGCAACAUGAAGUUCGGUUCUUGGACCUACGAUGGCUUCCAGGUGGACCUGAAACACAGCAAGCAGAUCAAGGGCAGCAACAUUGUGCAGAUCGGCAUCGAUCUCAGGGAGUUCUACAUGUCUGUGGAAUGGGAUAUUCUGGAGGUCCCCGCCCGGAGGAAUCAGGAGUAUUUUCCAGGGCUUCCCGAGCCCUACCCAGACAUCACCUUCAACCUGACGAUGCGGCGGAAGACCCUCUUCUACACGGUGAACCUGAUCAUCCCUUGCGUUGGUAUCUCCUUCCUGACGGUCCUGGUGUUCUACCUGCCCUCGGACUCCGGCGAGAAGGUGACUCUGUGUAUCUCCAUCCUGCUCUCCCUCACCGUGUUCUUCCUCCUGCUUGCCGAGAUCAUUCCGCCGACGUCCCUGGCGGUGCCGCUGCUGGGGAAGUACUUGCUCUUCACCAUGAUCCUGGUGACGCUCUCCAUCUGCGUCACCGUCGGAGUUCUCAACGUCCACUUCAGGUCACCCUCUACUCACAAGAUGUCCCCCUGGGUGAGGAGAGUGUUCAUCAACGUGAUGCCUCGCCUGCUGUUGAUGAGACGACCCCAGUACGACCCCAGGGACCGGCACGACAAGCUCUCCGACCAGGAGUACUUCGACCCUCUCAGCGAGGGAGAGAUCUGUGACCCGUAUAGCGAAGCAGCCUUCGUGGAGUACAGUGGAGACCAGGGCAGCGUGGGAGGCCCCGGCUACAAGUACAAUGAUGACUUCCUCUCCUCCCACGGUGGUGGCAAGUGUAGUGAAUCAUGUGACCUGGGCGGCUGCCACCUCCACAGCCAGAGGACCUACUCGCCAGAGAUCCAGAAAGCCAUUGAGGGCGUCCAGUUCAUCGCUCAGCACAUCAAGGACGCGGACCGCGAUAACGAGGAGUGCGAAGAUUGGAAAUUUAUUGCAAUGGUCCUAGAUCGACUAUUUCUCUAUGUGUUCCUACUCCUCAAUAUAUUUGGCCUGGUCAUCUUUUUCCGAGCUCCGUCACUGUAUGACCAAAGACCGUCAAUAGAUCAAUUCAUAUCAGAGAUAGGGUUAAUCCUACAGCCACCCAGGAACAAUUCUCACUUGAGUCAACAAUAGGUGAACAGGAGAGAGCCUGAUAGCUGCCUGAACAGCGGGUAAACGUCCCCAGUCAUACAGGAUUGGAAAUACGUGGCGAUGGUACUCGAUCGUCUGUUCCUGUGGGUGUUCACGAUCGCCUGUGUCGUAGGAACUUGUGGGAUCAUCUUCCAGGCGCCCUCGCUCUACG
rnacentral:misc_RNA from 1 species